GUCUCAGUAGCGUAGUGGUUAACGCACGGCCCCGGUUAGGCUCGAGAGGCGGGAUCGAAUCCCGCUGAGAUG
rnacentral:tRNA from 1 species